rnacentral:rRNA from 1 species
CCCGGAACCUUUCCCCGGUGGCAGUGGCACCCGGUGAUAUCCUUCGAACCUCCCCGAAAUGGGGAAAACCCCAGCAAUUUGCUUAAUCCCCCAUUUCCUGAACCGGAACCCCGGGAUUCCCAGCCCUUUCCCUAUGGACGCGCCCAUUUCGAAUACUUAGUUGUUGGGUAAAGGUCCCCCCAAGCCGCCAUUCCUUAGCCGUUUCUGAGAGAAUUAUCCCCCCCCUCUGGCCCUGAGCCCCGCCCCAGUUCCCUCCGAGGCACACCAGUGGGGAUUUUGGGACAAUGGCCGAAACCCUUAUCCAGCCAUGCCGCGUGAGUGAAGAAGGCCUUCGGGUUGUAAAGCUCUUUCGGCGGGGAAGAAAUCGCAUUCUCUAAUACAGGAUGUGGAUGACGGUACCCGAAUAAGAAGCACCGGCUAACUACGUGCCAGCAGCCGCGGUAAUACGUAGGGUGCGAGCGUUAAUCGGAAUUACUGGGCGUAAAGCGUGCGCAGGCGGUUUCGUAAGACAGACGUGAAAUCCCCGGGCUCAACCUGGGAACUGCGUUUGUGACUGCGAGGCUAGAGUUUGGCAGAGGGGGGUGGAAUUCCACGUGUAGCAGUGAAAUGCGUAGAGAUGUGGAGGAACACCGAUGGCGAAGGCAGCCCCCUGGGCCAAUACUGACGCUCAUGCACGAAAGCGUGGGGAGCAAACAGGAUUAGAUACCCUGGUAGUCCACGCCCUAAACGAUGUCAACUAGGUGUUGGGAGGGUUAAACCUCUUAGUGCCGUAGCUAACGCGUGAAGUUGACCGCCUGGGGAGUACGGCCGCAAGGCUAAAACUCAAAGGAAUUGACGGGGACCCGCACAAGCGGUGGAUGAUGUGGAUUAAUUCGAUGCAACGCGAAAAACCUUACCUACCCUUGACAUGUCAGGAAUCCCGGAGAGAUUUGGGAGUGCCCGAAAGGGAGCCUGAACACAGGUGCUGCAUGGCUGUCGUCAGCUCGUGUCGUGAGAUGUUGGGUUAAGUCCCGCAACGAGCGCAACCCUUGUCGUUAAUUGCCAUCAUUCAGUUGGGCACUUUAAUGAGACUGCCGGUGACAAACCGGAGGAAGGUGGGGAUGACGUCAAGUCCUCAUGGCCCUUAUGGGUAGGGCUUCACACGUCAUACAAUGGUCGGUCCAGAGGGUUGCCAACCCGCGAGGGGGAGCUAAUCUCAGAAAGCCGAUCGUAGUCCGGAUUGCAGUCUGCAACUCGACUGCAUGAAGUCGGAAUCGCUAGUAAUCGCGGAUCAGCAUGUCGCGGUGAAUACGUUCCCGGGUCUUGUACACACCGCCCGUCACACCAUGGGAGCGGGUUCUGCCAGAAGUAGUUAGCCUAACCGCAAGGAGGGCGAUUACCACGGCAGGGUUCGUGACUGGGGUGAAGUCGUAACAAGGUAGCCGUAGGGGAACCUGCGGCUGGAUCACCUCCU